CGGGCUAGGUUGAAAAAGGAGGUGGCGGGCUACGGGCUGGAGCAAGGGUUUCUUCUCUUUCAUUUCAAGGAGGUCGAGGAGAGGGAUCUGGUACUCCACCGACUGUGGGUGGUCAUCAACCAGGCUCUAGCAAUAGAGCCAUGGCGGCCCAAUUCUUUCCAUCGGAGGGGGCCAUCUGAUUAGCCCUGAUUUAGGUCUGAUUGUUGCUGCU
rnacentral:lncRNA from 1 species